AUGGGCUUUACAGUUUAUUUCUUUAACAAAUAUUUAUCUAGCUUUUCAUAUCCAUCUUUCAUGCACAGACUCUGGAAGAAUUCUAAAGCUGUUUUUGGAAAGACUAAGUACAUCCGGAAAGGUAUUGUCUCACUUAUCUCUUGGAGCUGUCCCUCCUGGAAUCUCCCAGCCUCUUCUCCCAGCUGUGCCACAGCUCUCACGUUCUUGUUUUGGGCAUUUCUUGGGCAACACCCUGGAAUUUCCUUCAAAGCCCUUGUGUCCUAGACCUUUUGUUUUAUUUUGGCUUUUGUAAAGCAUCUUCUGCAGUAGCAUCCAGAGAAAGAAUAUAGGGCUUGUGAUAUUAUUCUUAGAGAACUUGUCUGAAAAUAUCUUCAUUCUAGUUUCAUAUGUCAUCAUUACUAGCUGUGGCCAGCAUUCUAAGUUGUAAACUGUGUCUUUUCCGUAUGUUCAAGGCAUUGCUGCCAGUAUGCCCAUGUAUACCCUCCAGGCGCUGUGGAGGAGCUGGAUGCCUCUUUUUUUCUAGCCCUCCCUGAUAUGACUUCUUUCCCCUUUCCAUAACCCUUGCCACCUUCAGAAUAUUUUCAGUCUUGUUAACCUGAGAGUUCAUAAUGAUGUGUCCUCAGGAGUGUCUUCUAUUUAUUUCCCAACUUGUAAUAAGCCCUGAAAUAAAAGAAAUACAUUUUUCAAUUGUAGAAAAUUUUCCUGUAUUAUUUUUCUAAUGCUUU
rnacentral:lncRNA from 1 species